rnacentral:rRNA from 1 species
AUUGAACGCUGGCGGCAUGCCUUACACAUGCAAGUCGAACGGUAACGCGGGGCAACCUGGCGACGAGUGGCGAACGGGUGAGUAAUGUAUCGGAACGUGCCCAGUUGUGGGGGAUAACUGCUCGAAAGAGCAGCUAAUACCGCAUACGACCUGAGGGUGAAAGCGGGGGAUCGCAAGACCUCGCGCAAUUGGAGCGGCCGAUAUCAGAUUAGGUAGUUGGUGGGGUAAAGGCCCACCAAGCCAACGAUCUGUAGCUGGUCUGAGAGGACGACCAGCCACACUGGGACUGGGACACGGCCCAGGCUCCUACGGGAGGCAGCAGUGGGGAAUUUUGGACAAUGGACGCAAGUCUGAUCCAGCCAUGCCGCGUGCGGGAAGAAGGCCUUCGGGUUGUAAACCGCUUUUGUCAGGGAAGAAACGCUCUGGGUUAAUACCUCGGGGUAAUGACGGUACCUGAAGAAUAAGCACCGGCUAACUACGUGCCAGCCGCCGCCGUAAUAC